GACGAACGCUGGCGGCGUGCUUAACACAUGCAAGUCGAGCGGUAAGGCCCUUUCGGGGGUACGACGAGCGGCGAACGGGUGAGUAACACGUGGGUGACCUGCCCUCAGCUCUGGGAUAAGCCUGGGAAACCGGGUCUAAUACUGGAUAUGACUCCAUGACGCAUGUUGUGGGGUGGAAAGCCUUGUGCGGCUGAGGAUGGGCCCGCGGCCUAUCAGCUUGUUGGUGGGGGUGAGGCCUACCAAGGCGACGACGGGUAGCCGGCCUGAGAGGGCGACCGGCCACACUGGGACUGAGACACGGCCCAGGGCUCCUACGGGAGGCAGCAGUGGGGAAUCUUGCGCAAUGGGCGAAAGCCUGACGCAGCGACGCCGCGUGAGGGAUGACGGCCU
rnacentral:rRNA from 1 species